rnacentral:lncRNA from 1 species
UAGAGUUUAUACACCUUAAGAGUUAGCAGAUUUCACCUAUUCACAAUUUGACAUCACAUAAUUACAGAUUAUGUUUGCUUGGCCAGGUUAAGCUGAUUUAGUUCAUGGACAACUUUGUUAAACCAAUCAUCCAUUUGGUUGGAAACUUAGGUCUUGGAUUCGAUUGUAAACCCAAAACCCGGCAUAAAACGACUCAGAUCCUAGUAUGAAAACUGAAACUCGGAUCAAAUCGGUCCAAUAAACACCACCUCC